UCGACAAAAGAGACUACCGAAGAAUCGUUCUUCACAACGCUCUCGAGGUCCUCCUCAUCAGCUAUCCAGAAACUGAUAAGGUUCUUUUAGUGAUCCAGAAGGUCUUGAAGGCCUCGCGCAUUUUCUUGGUCUAUGCAGCUGCUACUGUCUUUCUUGUACCAUUUUUGGAGAGGAAAGGAAAUUUCCUGAGAGAUUGUUUUCCUCAACAAGAAGGUGCUGGUUGAAGGUUAGGAAGUUAGAAUAGAAACUUCCACGGGGUUGAUACAUUUGCUUGUGAAAGUUAAAAAUAACAUAUUGAAUAGUUGUGCCUUAUAAUUUUCUUUGCCUUUUCUACUCUCGAAUUAUGAUUUGGACUGGGGUA